CCUAUGGAGUGUUAUAGCAAACGAAAGUAGCUUAGGCAAAAUCGGAUAUUAUGAAGUAGGAA
rfam:Clostridium tetani E88, complete genome.